UACGAAGGGGGCUAGCGUUGCUCGGAUUUACUGGGCGUAAAGGGCGCGUAGGCGGACAGUUUAGUCAGAGGUGAAAGCCCAGGGCUCAACCUUGGAAUUGCCUUUGAUACUGGCUGUCUUGAGUUCGGGAGAGGUGAGUGGAACUGCGAGUGUAGAGGUGAAAUUCGUAGAUAUUCGCAAGAACACCAGUGGCGAAGGCGGCUCACUGGCCCGAUACUGACGCUGAGGCACGAAAGCGUGGGGAGCAAACAGG
rnacentral:rRNA from 1 species